CACGUAGGGGGGCAAGCGUUGUCCGGAAUUAUUGGGCGUAAAGAGCUCGUAGGCGGCUCGGUAAGUCAGGUGUCAAAUCCUCAGGCUCAACCUGGGGCUCCACCUGAUACUGCUGUGGCUAGAGUCCGGUAGGGGGAGCGUGGAAUUCCUGGUGUAGCGGUGAAAUGCGUAGAUAUCUGGAGGAACACCGGUGGCGAAGGCGGCGUCCUGGACCAACACUGACACUGAGGAGCGAAAGCCAGGGGAGCAAACGGG
rnacentral:rRNA from 1 species